rnacentral:rRNA from 1 species
CAGCCGCCACGGUAAUACGAGGGGGGCAAGCGUUGUUCGGAAUUAUUGGGCGUAAAGGGCGCGUAGGCGGUUUGGCAAGUUUGGUGUGAAAUCUUCGGGCUCAACUCGAAGUCUGCAUCGAAAACUGCCGGGCUUGAGUAUGGGAGAGGUGAGUGGAAUUUCCGGUGUAGCGGUGAAAUGCGUAGAUAUCGGAAGGAACACCUGUGGCGAAAGCGGCUCACUGGACCAUUACUGACGCUGAGGCGCGAAAGCUAGGGGAGCAAACAGGAUUAGAUACCCCCGUAGUCCCUGUCUCUUAUAC